GGGCUGGUAGAUCAACGGAAGAUCGCUUGCAUGGCAUGCAAGAGGCUUCGGGUUCAAAUCCCGACCAGUCCA
rnacentral:tRNA from 1 species